AGCGUUGCUCGGAAUCACUGGGCGUAAAGGGUGCGUAGGCGGGUCUUUAAGUCAGGGGUGAAAUCCUGGAGCUCAACUCCAGAACUGCCUUUGAUACUGAGGAUCUUGAGUUCGGGAGAGGUGAGUGGAACUGCGAGUGUAGAGGUGAAAUUCGUAGAUAUUGGGAGGAACACCAGUGGCGAAGGCGGCUCACUGGACCGGUUCUGACGCUGAUGCGCGAAAGCGUGGGGAGCAAACGGG
rnacentral:rRNA from 1 species